rnacentral:rRNA from 1 species
CAUGUAGGCGGUUUUGUAAGACUGGCGUGAAAGGCUGCAGCUUAACUGUAGCAUGGCGCUGGUAACUACAAGACUUGAGUCACGGAGAGGGAGCUAGAAUUCCAGGUGUAGGGGUGAAAUCUGUAGAUAUCUGGAAGAAUACCAGUGGCGAAGGCGAGCUUCUGGCCGAUGACUGACGCUGAGGUGCGAAAGCGUGGGUAGCAAACA